rnacentral:rRNA from 2 species
UCUUGACCUCAAAUCAGGUGAGACUACCUGCUGAACUUAA